rnacentral:other from 1 species
ACCGGCCUGCGAAGCAGGUGGCGUGAAUACCGCAGGUUGAACCAAUACUCUUUGAACAGGGUCCUGGCUCGUAUAAAUGGCUCGGUGUGCUAUGUCCGCCAGUCCGGAAAGCCUAAAGAGCCACGGCUAGGGCCCACCGCUUAUUAGCGGGUUCACCUGCGCCUCACGGCACGGCCAAGUGGGUCGGUC